AUUGACUGUAAGGUGUUUGCAAAAUUCCUGUUCUACAGUCUACACAUUCCUGCCUGCACAGAAUAAAGCAAUAUGUCAACGGUGUGAAUAAAAUGAAAGUCAAUUUGUGGAAUUACUAUUGUUUCUUAGGUGCUUUAGGGAUGGUAGAUAUAUUAGUUUCCCUGUUGAUUUUCUAGCAUAGAGUUAAAAGAAAUAAAGAAUACAAAGCUGAAGUUCAAACCUUAAUCAGAAAACCAAAAUUAUGUGGCUAGCUAGCCUUGAUUUUCCAUGUUUAAGAUCAAAGAGCACACCUGCAACCCGAAUACAUUGGAAGUGAUGUAUCCGCUGGCUUUAGCUUAUUUUCUCAGUGCUUACUUCCUAAGAACUAAAACACGAAGACUUUAACAAUGGCCAACAACAAUGAAUAAGAACAAUAAGUUACAGGUUUGAUUGCACUUUCAUUUUGAUUGCUAGAAUUCUGUAUAUUUGAAGCAUUAAUCCUAAAACAAAUAAAACCCAAAGAAAAAUGAUCUAAUAACAAAAGAUAAAUGUUGGCAGAUAAAAUUAACUGAAAAU
rnacentral:misc_RNA from 1 species